UCUCAAAAAAAAAAAAAAAAAAAAAAAAAAAAAAAAGAAAUAAAAGUUCCCACAGUGCCAUGAAAUGCAAAUGCCAGUGCACUGGGGCAGCACACUCAGGUGGGAGCUUGCAGACCUAUGAGCUGAAAUGUUCAUCGCAGCCCGGGCAGCCCCUCCAGGCCCGCAGUACAGGUCACCUGCUAUACUGACUAUAAAAAUGACCAUGGCUUCUACACCAAACCUCCUCAGUGUUGCCAGAGAAAGCAUUUCUUUUAAGCCUCUUUCCCUCCAUUAAAAAAUAAAACAAUAGCAAACUCUUCAGGCAAUUACAACAUAGGAUGGAUCUAAAAUACCAAACUGAUGUUUUGCCUUAUUCACCAUUACUCAAAACAGAUCUGCAGGGAGAGAAUAUGCUGCUGCAGCUAACGUGGGCUGGCUUCUCUAUGUCAUGCACAAAGACCCGGAUGGUAGCCUGACCCAGUGUGGGUCACUGGGGAGUCAACCGACAUCAUGACAAUAACCACAAUAAAUGUAACAAUGCUUGUUAUUAUUACAAUAGUCACAAUAGCUGCCACUUAUUAGCACUGACCUAAGCCAACCCAGGGCUAGGCACUUCUGACACGUUAUUUUCCUUAAUCUGUUCACACCUUGAGAAAAGUACUGUCAUCAUCCUUAAAGAGUAAAUUAAGGUUUACAGAAGCUACAUAACUCUACAAGAUGUGAAAGCUAGUAAGAGCUAGCGCAUUCAAAUCUCUAACCACCAAACCUAUUUCUCCAGGUGCCUGUAGACCAAGGAGGGUGGCCUGAGCAAUUCCACCCUCCUUGCACCAAAUAACCUCCAGCCCAAACGGAUUGUGCUGGAUGGAGAGUCACAACGAACAUAUGCCCAGUUCAGGACCAUCUGGUGUCAGUGGCAGGGCGCCGACUCCCAGACGAGACAAAAGUUCUCAUUUCUUUGGGUUUGGGAUUGGAUGGGGUUUUUGUGAUGUUGCUGUAUGGCUGUCAGUUUCCUGGUUGGUGUUCCUUUAAGGACAGCACAACUAUUGGUGCAGGAUGUGUACACGAGGAAGGCAGUCUGGGGUUCACUGGCCAAGGGCAAACCACACGAGCACUGUGCAGGCACAACACAUUUUAGUUUUUGAAGAGUACGCUGGAGGGUGUGACCCUGGGUCUCUCCACAGUCCUGGACUCUUGGCGGGCCAAGCUCAGUGCCAUGUAUGUUGCCAGAGGAAAGGGAGCCCUCGAAGAAGCAGAAUUCCUACCUAUGUAUUAAGUUAUGGGAUUCACCUCCCACAAUUCCAGAUGACAGUGUGCCUAACAUUUAAAAAAUAAUUUUGCUGUGAUUGGAAUUGCCACACUUGGAAGUGGAAGCAGGGCCCCCAGCGUCCCCCUGGCUUCCCAGGCAGCUCCUCCCUGGGGCUGGCGGUUGUCAAUGUCUUUUCACAGAAGCAGCUGCCUGCGUCUCUGUAAGGCAGGAAGGAAGCAGGAAGGAGGCAGGAAGGAGGCAGGAAGGAGGCAGGAAGGAAGCAGGAAGGAGGCAGGAAGGAGACAGGUGAUCCGGGACACGCUGCAUUCUCUCCUUAGAGGCCUGCAGGACACAGGCAGCUCCUCUGGCAUCUGAGACCAGCGUUUCCUAAAGGUGAUGGUGAGAAAGUGUUUUUCAUCUCAGCCACCUCCAGGUAACUGCAGCCCCUUUUGUAAGUCUCAGAGCAUGUUCUGUAAGUCUCAGAGCAUGUUUUGUAAAUCUCAGAGCAUGUGAAUUCUGACCUGCAAAACCCUCCUUGCACCAUUUCCCCGGCCUAGAACACUCUCUUCCCCAAGUCCUCCUCUGGCUUUGAACAUAGCUCAGUUACUCCUCGGAUACUCCGGACCACAGCAAGUGCACAGCAAUCUCUCUGAAUGUCUGUGGCAUUCACUAACUGUAUUAUUCAUUUGGUGCAAGUAUGUGUUACCUGUUGUCUGUCACUAUUUGCAUCACAGCUCUCCGAGUAGACAGCACAUUUCUUCAGGGUAGGCAGUGUGACUUAUUUACCUUAUGUUCCAAUGUUUAGUACAGGAUUUAGUACACGGUAGGUGCUGAAUGAAUGUCUGUGGGUGCGAAUAACGAUGCUGCCAUUAUCUUGGUAUCAGGUAAGAAAAUUAAAGAAAUUCUAACCUGCAAUGACAGCCGCAGUUUUUCAAAAUUUUCUUCCAAUUCUUUCUUUUCAAGCUCAUGAGUGGACAUCAAUUCUGGAAAGAGGACAUGAAACUGUUACGUUGGUCUUUCUUUUGAAAAGGAUACCACAAGGCUCUUUUGGCAGACUAAGAACCGUGACUUCAGGAUCACUCUUCCUUCCCACUGCAAAGCAGCCAUCUGUGGCUGAGCAAAGCAGUGGAGCUGCGAGCAGCCAUCCUGCCAGCCGGGCUCACCAGCCAGGCUCAGUGCUGCGUCUACACGGACACCUUGGUAGCCUCUUGGCUGCCCUCUGAGAACCACACAUCCCUGGGAUUUGCUUCAGCAAUGAUUUGGUGUGAAGACAACUCAGAUGCAAGGAAGAACUAAUUGGACUGAUUCCUCUUGGAGGGUCUGAAACAACUCUGUUCCGUGAAAAGUGUCAUCCCAGCAAUGCUUUGAGCCAACAGAAAAAAAUGCAGCAGGAGGGAAAGACAGGAAAGGAGGAACAAUAGAGGAAGGGGGGCUCCACACACCUGCAGCGGGAAAGGCUGGGCUUGCACCACCCCACCCCUGCCUGCUGCACACCAGGCUGGGAGCUACCUUGGACUUUGUGGUCGUGGUCAUCCUGCAGGAUUGUGAUGGCAACUGUGUGGUUAUUUUCCAUCUCGAGGAGAGCAGCCUCAUGGCUGGUGGUGAGAUCUUCCACCUGGAGGAGAGUCGCAGUUACCGGUUAGACAGAGAGCUGCUUGGAGAACAGAAGUGGAAUUCCGUGAGUGGAAAAGGUCCAUGACCUGAAACAUCAAUGACAAGUCACAGCCUCGUGCCGAAGCAGGCGAGUUGGACUUUGGUGGUGAUGUGGCAGCCCUCAGAGUCAAGAGGAGGUCACUGCCACAACCUGGCUCUUUGCAGGAGGAUCCAACUCCAGGCAGGGGAUCACUGCCUGAGGUACCUCUUUAGAGUCCUGAGUGCGGCUCCUGGACCAUCCCCUUCCCACUCCUAGUCCAUCCCCUUCCACCGCUAUGAGCGAUGACGGCAAAGGAAAAGAAAAGGUUCCUCCCUACGAGGUGGUCUGUUUCCCAGAGGCAGGGGGAGCUACAGUACACAAGGUCAACGGAGGGAACGAAUACUUAUUAGGCUGCCCGAGAUACGUUACUCUACUUAACCCUCAGAGCCACCUUCUGAAGUAGAUCUUUUUAUGCCCAAUUGACAGAUGUGGAAACUGAGGCUCAGAGAAAUUUGAAAUGUUUUGCCCAAGGGUUAAUAAAUGGCAGAGCUAGCAGUGAGACCCAGGUCUGUCUGACUUCAAAGGUGAAGCUCUUUCGAAUGCACUAUUGUUUUGUGUUGACCUCCCCCAAGCAAGACCAGCAACGGACACCUUAGGAUUCUCUCGCCAAUACCAGGUUUACCAAGAAGCUCACUGAGAGGUAACACAAACAGCCAAGGAACAUGAAAAGACGCUCAGUGCCCCUGCAAAUGGAAGCAGGAAAUCAUUUUUCAUCUACAAGGCUGAUAAAGAUGAAAUGUUCUGAUAAUACAGGAAGAGUAUGAGGAAACUGUCACUCGAUGGACUGCAGGUGAAACAUAAUUGAUACGGCUGCCUUGGAGGGCAAAGAUAUCUUUCAAAAUUUAAAUGACAGGGACGGCAGCAUUAUGGGUGGGAGAUAAAGAAUCUGAGUUUCUUUCAGGGGUGAUGAAAAUGUUCUAAAACGGAUUGUGGUGACAGCUUUCCACAACUCAGAAUAUACUGAAAACCACCAAAUUGUAUACUUUCAAUGGGCGGGUUGUAUGGUAUGUGAAUUAUAUCUCAAUAAAAUUUUUACCAAAAGA